UACUCCAAAUGGGUAUUAUGUUUCCUAUGAUGGAUGGGGGAAUAAGGAAGAGGUAAGAUUUGUCACCCCACUUCCAAAUCAUUAAUGUCUUGGUAUAUGUAAAUUGCCUUGACUUAGUUUUACCCAUCUAUGUGGAUUGUUGCUAAGUCUUGCAACAGAACUGUGUUGUAUUGAGGCUUUCAUUGGAAGUAUGGUGGAUGAAAGUGAAAAUGGAUUAUGGCUGUUUUGAACGUUUUGAACAGAUUGCUUGUUGACAUUUCCAAAGAUGAGUAUAACCGUGAUCCAUAAUAGCAUAAUCCAACAAUUCUAGAAACCAGGUUUCAUUUCAUUAAGUCAUCACUUAGUGGUGGUUCCAGUGUUGUCGAAAGUGCUAGACGCCCUUAAGGCGAGAAGGUCCUUCAUCGCCCGAGGCGCUAGGCACUCACCUGAGCAAAGUGAGGCGCUAAUUUAUUCUAAAAUAAUAAAUAAUUAUAUAUACAAUGUAAAAAAGUCUUAC
rnacentral:misc_RNA from 1 species